CAGCAGCCGCGGUAAUACGAAGGGGGCUAGCGUUGCUCGGAAUGACUGGGCGUAAAGGGCGCGUAGGCGGUUUGUACAGUUGGGUGUGAAAUUCCUGGGCUUAACCUGGGGGCUGCACCCAAUACGUGCAGGCCUGAGUGUGGAAGAGGGUCGUGGAAUUCCCAGUGUAGAGGUGAAAUUCGUAGAUAUUGGGAAGAACGCCGGUGGCGAAGGCGGCGACCUGGUCCAUUACUGACGCUGAGGCGCGAAAGCGUGGGGAGCAAACAGGAUUAGAUACCCGCGUAGUCCCUGUCUCUUAUAC
rnacentral:rRNA from 1 species